AGGGAUAUGUCCUGUCCCUUCAUCCCACUUCGUCCGGUCCUCG
rnacentral:misc_RNA from 1 species